rnacentral:rRNA from 1 species
CCUACGGGCGGCUGCAGUGGGGAAUAUUGGACAAUGGGCGAAAGCCUGAUCCAGCAAUGCCGCGUGUGUGAAGAAGGCCUUCGGGUUGUAAAGCACUUUCAGUGGGGAAGAAAGCCUUGGGGCUAAUACCCUCGAGGAAGGACAUCACCCACAGAAGAAGCACCGGCUAACUCCGUGCCAGCAGCCGCGGUAAUACGGAGGGUGCGAGCGUUAAUCGGAAUUACUGGGCGUAAAGCGCGCGUAGGCGGUCUGAUAAGCCGGUUGUGAAAGCCCCGGGCUCAACCUGGGAACGGCAUCCGGAACUGUCAGGCUAGAGUGCAGGAGAGGAAGGUAGAAUUCCCGGUGUAGCGGUGAAAUGCGUAGAGAUCGGGAGGAAUACCAGUGGCGAAGGCGGCCUUCUGGACUGACACUGACGCUGAGGUGCGAAAGCGUGGGUAGCAAACAGGAUUAGAUACCCGAGUAGUC